UACGGAGGGUGCAAGCGUUAUCCGGAUUUACUGGGUUUAAAGGGUGCGUAGGUGGGUUGGUAAGUCAGUGGUGAAAUACUUUCGCUUAACGAAGGAACUGCCAUUGAUACUACCAGUCUUGAAUACAGUGGAGGUAGGCGGAAUGCGCCAUGUAGCGGUGAAAUGCUUAGAUAUGACGCAGAACACCAAUUGCGAAGGCAGCUUGCUACACUGUUAUUGACACUGAGGCACGAAGGUCAGGGGAGCAAACGGG
rnacentral:rRNA from 1 species